AAACAGCACAAAGGGCACUCUUAUGCUGCUGUAAACCAGUGCCAGGAUUUUUAAAAUGUGAGACACCUGUUACCCUAGAGUGUGAAGAGGAGGAGAAAGGCUGAAGAGGAGGAGAAAGGCUAAGAUCUUUUCCAAUGCAAAAUUAGGAAAAAAUAUACUACAGAUUUAUGAAAAAAUAAGAAGUGAAAGUAUUCUCUGACUGCAAGUAUGACCACCUGUCUUUCUAUAUCAGGUUGAUAAUUUCUAACAUGUUCCUUUGUAAUUGUUUCUCAAUUUUGUGCUGAAUGUUGACCAUGUGCAUUUCCAUUUCUUCAACAAAAUCACAUUUGUCUUUAGAGCACUGUUGUUACUGUGCACAGCACUCUCCCCAUGCCUGAACUGUCAACAAUCCACUGAGUAGGACAUAUGCCCAGCUGUCUGACUAAAGCUGAGCAUUGUGGGCCGUGGCUUUCAAAUACUCCAGUGCUUUCACAGAUGAUCUGGGGAGGAAACUAGUGACUCCACACCUUUAAUUUAAUAAUAUUGCCCCAAACAAAUGAGUAAAACAGAGAAUAAAGAGGGCAAAUAAGUA
rnacentral:lncRNA from 1 species